CCUACGGGAGGCAGCAGUGAGGAAUAUUGGUCAAUGGACGCAAGUCUGAACCAGCCAUGCCGCGUGCAGGAUGACGGCCCUAUGAGUUGUAAACUGCUUUUGUACGGGAGUAAACGCCGAUACGUGUAGCGGGUUGAAAGUAUCGUACGAAUAAAGCACGGCUAACUCCGUGCCAGCAGCCGCGGUAAUACGGAGGAUCCGAGCGUUAUCCGGAUUUCGUGGGGUUAAAGGGUGCGUAGGCGGUUUGAUAAGUUAGAGGUGAAAUGUCGGGGCUCAACCCCGAAACUGCCGUUAAGACGGGUGGACUAGAGAAUAGUUGCGGUAGGCGGAAUGUAUGGUGUAGCGGUGAAAUGCUUAGAUAUCAUACAGAACACCGAUUGCGAAGGCAGCUUACCAAACUACAUCUGACGUUGAGGCACGAAAGCGUGGGGAGCAAACAGGAUUAGAUACCCCAGUAGUC
rnacentral:rRNA from 1 species